rnacentral:lncRNA from 1 species
CCCAAACAACCUGAGUACCUCCAACUUUGAAAAGCCAGAUAUCAACUGAUGUGGAAUUAUAGACAAAAACCGUGUAUAGUCCAAGUUCAAAUAUCUCAACUUCUCCAACGCCUUCAGCUCUUGCGGCAACCCGCGUAUACCUGAGGGUAGUUUCCUUAGGGAAAUAUUUAUUCGUAGACUUAAUACUCUAAGAGUCGACAUAGAUUGAAAGAAGCCAUCAGUAAUCUCCUCAAUCCGAUUUUCAUCCAGAAGUAAAGUUAUCAGACGUCGACACGUGGGAAUUUCCGAUAGGCAUUCAAUUCCAGUUGCCAUCAGAGAUACCCGUUUGGCACCUUCCCAUUCUUCAAACUUUGGUGCUUCGGUCAAUUCAACUCCAGCGUGAACCAGAAAGUUCUGCUCCUCCUUGUCUACCGUGCACGCUAUCCAUAAUGACAUCUCACGAAUCAUAUCGUGCAUCUUUACAUGAUCAUCGCCUUCUUCCUCCAAUAAGCAUGCUUGAAGAAGGUCAUCAAUAAAAUCGCAUCCAUCAUCAAAAUCACACACAAAUCCUUCACUAAUCCAGUAAUCAAUCAAUUGCCUUUUAGGAAUUUCGGAGUCUUCAGGGUACAAACAACAAUACAGGAGACAGGAACGAAGUUCGUCCGUAGACAAACUAUCAUAGCUGAACUUUAAACGCGAAAACACCUCUUCUUUCAUACCUGAGAAUUUAGAAGCUGAUGUUGUCAUUUUGUGAAUUGCACGUUUCCAAUCUCCAACUUUCCUUUGGCUUUUCAUGGCUCGACCCACUGUUUUAAGCGCUAGCGGCAACCCACCACACUCUCUUGCCAGGGUUUCGGCUAGCCCUGGAAUACUGGUAUGACUGUCAAGAGUGGAUCUUUCGAUCAUCUCCUGAAAUAAUUUCCAGGCUUCAUCAUGUGCCAAACUAGACACUUCCACCUUUUCAGCGUCCAUUUGAUCGCAAACCCCAGCUGAACGAGUUGUCAAGACUAUUUUGGACCCAUCAUUUAGAUUUUGAAGAGGGACACCCAGCUGUGUUAAAUCAAUGGGCUCCCAUAUAUCAUCUAAUAACAACACAAACUUCUUUCCGCUUAGAAUGCUAGCGAUGUCCACAGCCUUGUCUUGAAGACUUUUUUCCUCCCAGCUUUGGUCUUCUGAAAAGCCAAUCCUUUUUCCAAUGUCAUCUUGAAGUGUUGACACAGCCGCCCAGAUAACAACAUCAAAAUUAUGCUGUUGAUGGCAGAAGUUGUUGUUGACUUGUUUUAAAAGGGUAGUUUUGCCGACUCCCCCUAUACCAUACAAGCCGAUAAUUCCCCUGUUCUUUUCCUGAUCAGUGAUACAUCUCCAAACUUGAUCAAGUAAUAGUUCUUGACCAACAACUGUGUGAUCAAGAGGUAAUUCAAUUGCUGCACCAUCUGGCGCCUUCUCAACAACGACUUCAAAUUUUUCUCCGUCUUUCUUUAAAUUGAUCACUCGAUCCGUCAACUCGACCACCUGAGUCCCGUAAUUGUAGCUUGAAACGAAGUUUUUGGAACAGAGGCCUCCAAGGCACAAUCUAUCCAUUUCUUGAGCUCUAACUCGUUCGAGCUCGGUAAAUUCAGUUUCCAGUUUUUGCACAUCUUCAAGCCACCCUGCGACCUGGUUCGUUCGUCUGGUUCGAGGUCGUUGUUCUUCGACCUCAACCUUGGUCUUCAGAUCGUCCCUUGCUCGAGUCAAUUUGUGCAAUUCAGUCUCCAAGACCCGAAGAUUUUUUUCGAGACCCCAUACAUAUUUUGCUUGUUCACCAACGCAGUUUGAAGUUCGAUCAAAUAAGUCUGCUGGUAAGAAGGUUGAGAUUAAGUUACCCAUUGUCGUUGACGAAAAGAGGAAGUGAAGCAAUGGGUACAAUGAAAAGAAUUAAGCUAAUUUGGUGAGGGUCAUUUUACUUAAAUUCUUAAGAAUUGCUUUCAAAUGCAAACAGAGUAUGAGAAUCAGGCCUUUAUUGAUUAUGAUGACUUGAAUGAAAAUGAAAUACAGAGCUUUGCUAGUUUACAUACAGAGACAAAAAAUAAUGACAGCUAGCCUAAGGGGUAUUACACGGAAGUAAUCAAAAUUGAUCCGUGAAUAUAGCAAUUGUGAACCAAUCACAUUAAGCUUCUAGAAGAUGCAACUAUUCAAUGCACAUGCGCUGCUAUUCUUCAACAUAACAGUUUUGCCAGCUCAACAAAUCCAACUCACAGAAUCAAGGUCAACCGUUGACUCUUCACAGCUGCUGCUUUCAACAAUUUUUAGAGAACCACAACACCAAAAUAAAAAUAUGAUACAUUUGUUGCUUUAUUCAUGUUUCAAAUAUCAAGAAUAUAAUGAUACGUUUGCACGUCAUAUAAAAUUUGUAAUUCUUUCAGUAAUGACAGAAUUAAUAUUAAAUCUUAUCAUUAUUAUUUAAGUGAUAUAUUUAUAUUGAGAAUAUUUAUUUAGAAUAAAAAUUUUGUGCCUUAACUUUGGAUAAAGAUUCAAAAUAUUAAGUCAAUGAUAGCUAGAUAAAAAAUUAAAAUAAAAUAAAUUUUAACAAUAAUUUUUUAUUUAAUAAAAAAUUAGCCUACCCUCCAGAACAUUAACACCACCACCACCAUCACCACCCCACCAAUCAUCUCACUCUCAAAACUCUCCAUUUUUGCCUCCACUAAUUCCCACUCUCUCCAAAACCCUUCUUUCUUCCUCUUCUCGUUUCCUCUCUCCUGCCCCUGGUACGCCAAUUUCCAUUCUCUCGCUUUUUUUUUGGCAAUUUUGGCUUGAGUUUUUUGGGUUUUUGGUAAUUUAUCUUUAAUUUUUGUGGGUAUCCUUCGUUUUUUUAGUUAUCAUACAUGAGUUGAGUAGUCGUAGACGAUUUUUUAUUGUUUUAAACUGAACGGAUUCUUUGUAUUUCGAAAAUGAAAUUCAUUGUUUGUGAAGUAACUUUUAAAGCUGUUGAUUUGAGUUUGAAAACUUAAUAUGCUUAAAUUUGUCUAUGUGGAUUUGAAUCAAUUAGACAAGCAGCACAGGAGAGCCAAUCGAGCGCGGAGGUGAAUGCCGAUAGAAGAGAAUGGUUUAUGCAAGGUACAUUAAUAGUAAUUUGAUCUGAUGCCAAUUUUAUUUCUAUAUUAAUUUAUUAGAUUAUGUAAUGUUAUAAAUUCUUUGUUCAAAAUGUAGAGCUUGGAAAUUUAGUCGAUACAUUAUGGUAAUGAAUGUAGCUUGUGUAUCUGUUCAAAUUUAUGUCUAGCUUUGCUGUUUUGGUAAUGGUUUGUUUAGUAUAAAUUUUGUGUUGGUUAUGAUGUUGUUUAGUGGUUUGGAUCACUCGUGCUCUUUUGCCCCCCACUAAAAUUAAUCUUUAUGAGUUAAGAUUCCCUGUAGCGAGUAUAUCCUUUGGUGCAUAAGAGUUUAAGUGAUUAUCGUCAUUGUUGAGUUAAACAAUGGGAUUAAUUUUCAUGUUCAUGUAAGGUGAUCAUCGCUAAAGUUAGAGCCAUUACGUGAUAAAUUGAUAAUUCAUUGUGUUGUUAUGUUUGUUAUACUGGGUAAAAAUCCCAGUGAUAGAAUUCAUGUUAAGCGGUUUUGGGUCUCAUUCAAUCCCAACCCAAAAGAUGGAUAAGGGGUGAGACUUUCCCUCACACUUGUAAAAUCACCACCAUCCUAGUUCACAACCGAUGUAAGACAACCCAACAAUCUCUCCCUCACAUAUCGGGCCUUGGUUCAAAAGCAUGGACACUCAUUUUCGCUAGUAGAUUGUUGGAAUGAGAUGUUGAUGAAUCUUUUAGUUGAUUUUUUUUUUUUAUAAAAAGGAAAAGAUUAUGAAGAGAUAAAUACAAUAAAAAAAAGAGAUUAAUAUUGUAAUAAAACAUUUAUGUAGUGAUAUUUUAUAUAAAAAUAAUUUCAUAUAGCUAUAAAAGUACUGGUCCUAAUUUAUAUUAGGCCAAUUAUAAAUAAAAAUAAAUUUCAUGCUGUAAUAAUUUAUAAUUUUGCUAAAUCUCACCUUAAGGAGCUCACUUCCACGUAGUGUAAAUAUAUAUAUAGAAAAAAAAAAUAUGUUAUAUUACAUUAAGUGAACUUGGGGGUUGUUUGGUACCCCUCUUUACCUGGGAUUGCAUUGUGUUAGCAAUGCAACCCCAUGUUUGGGGUACCAAAUGGCUAUAUUAGCUAAACUCGACAUAUAGUCGGGUUUAGCUAAUGCGUCCAGUUACCGCAUUAGCUUUAGCUUCCUCUUUUUUUUUUUUUUUAUACUUUGUAAUAAUGAUAAAUGAAUAUAAUUUUUAAUUUAAUAUUAUAUAAUAUUAUUUUUACUUUAUAAUUUUAAUAUAAAUUAAUAAAUUUAUUGUUUAAUAAUAUUAUAUUAUAUUUUAAUUUUUAUCAUAGUAAAUGUACAACUAAAAAAUGUAUUAUUUAAUUAUAUUACAUUAAAGGCGGAUGUACGGUACAGCAGCUUAAAUAAUAUAAUAUAAUAUAAUAUUAUUUAAUUUAUUAAAAUAAUUAAACUAGUUAUUUUUAAAUAAUUUAAUAUAACUAAUAAUAAAUAUUUAAAUAUGAAUAAAUUUGAAUAAUAUUAAUUAAAAAUUAAUACAAUACAGUAUAGUACCAAACAUUGUACAACAUUAUUAUAAUACAUUACUAAUACAACACAACAUAAUGUAAUAUACCUAUAUUAAAAUAAUGCAAUACAACAUAAUAUAAUACAACGUACCAAACGCACCCUUGUAUCCAUAUAGUACAAUAACAACAUAAGAAAAAAAUAUUAAAGAGAACACAAAAGUUCCGAGACUUUUAAGAUAAUUUUUUAUAUUUGUAACAAGCAUGUGCUAACUUUUUUGAAACCAUGUAUAUUUAUUUUAUGGAUCCCCUAAUAAUUUAUUACUACAUCUCUAUUAAAAUAAUUGAGGUCCUGCACUUUCAUUGGAAGAUAGGAGAAAAAAACAAUUGAUAAGAGAAGAAAACAAUUUAAAAUAUUUAUUGUUACUUAAAAAAAAUUAAUUUUCUUUUCCUAAAGUUAUUCCACAGACGGUAGUACAAAAUUAUGUGAUCACGCACGCACACAGUGAUAUGGUAAUUAUUGAAACAGAAAUAAAUUUUCUGUUUCCCAUCUGAAAUCUAUUACUAAUAUAAAGGAACAGAAAAAACUUUAAUUAUUAUUAUUUUUUCCAUGUAGGGCAAGGCAAACAUCACUAUCUUGUUAAAUUAAUAUUUAAAAUUAUCCCACCAAAAAUAAUUCUAACAAAUUAAAUAAAUAUUUACUAUGAGUUCAGCAUCUGGGUUCCCACUCCAUAAAUAUGCCAGCAUUUUAAAACAAGCAAGACUUAAGCGACAAAUACAAUUUUGUCCACGAGUGUAAAGGUCGCAUUAUAAGCCAAAGGAGAGCAGUUAAAAGGAAGAUAAAAUAUUACCGUAUUGAACUUGGUAUUUCUCUCUCUUCUAUUAUUAAUUUGUUGUUAAUUAUAACCUUUAGCGGGAUUUAAAAAAAGAAAAAGGCCCUUUCGUUUUCAUCAAACACCUUCUUCGUUUAACUAUUUGUGUGACAUCAUUUAUAUGAGUCCAUAAACAUUACAAUGCCAAAUGUGAAAUGGAUUGAGAACCACACGUCCUUUAUACGGCCACUCCACAAAUGUUUAUAAAAUUUUCCCCUCAUUCUCCUUAGAAGCCAGAAGCAGAGUCAGUCCUGUACCCCUUUACGUAUGCCUUGGACAUUAAGGCCUCCAUAAAUUAACAUAAACGAUUAGUACAAGAUGAUUUAACCACACAAUAUGUCAAAUUUACAUUUUGCAAUCAUUGAUACUUGGUGCUACAGUCAAAUUUAUAUUUAUUCAAGAUACCGGGUUCAAUAAUUAAAUUCACAUAAAAAGAAAGAUGCAUUCACCCUUAAUGGCCCAGGAGCCAACCAAAUUCCGCGUCCGUGAAGUGAGGCACCUUUCUGUAGCCCAUGGUCUGGCAAAUUCUUGUGUGAAGUCCCUUUCUCUUGCGCUUGCACCGCUGGCUCUGGCUCCAAAACUCGACACAUAUUAAUUUAAUUUGUUGUCGUUGCGGAUGAUGUGUAUAAGCUUUAUCGACAGAAUAAAUGAGAUGAAACGUGCAAAGAAGACUCAAGAACUCGACCAUUUUUGCUGAAAACUAGAGAAAUUAACUGAUGGUGCUGGACAAAUCGAUCACAGUAGCUAAGAAGAACUUGAUUUGAUUAUGUAAUCAAUUUAGUUUUUCGUUGCUUUUGUGGUUCUUUUGGGUAAGAGGGCUGGGGCAGUAACCAAAGUGCGCAUUGUAUAGUCAUAGAUUUAUAGUCAGUGUUUUGUUAGCGUGGGGUAAUGUAGAUUGUGUACUGAUUGAUAGAUAAAAUAAUGGAUUAAUUCACUUGGUAAAUUUUGCAAAAAAGAAAAAAAAAAAACAGCUUAAUUUACCAUCCUCUUUUGACAAACUUUGAAUUUUCUGACAUUCAAUUGAAGGUGGAAGCGGCAUCAUAGCUGUACUGAAGAAGAUCGUCAUAAGGUCCCUUUUGCCAGCCACCUGCUCUGUAUCAUUCUUUCUUGUCCCUCUCUUUCAAGUCGUCCAUCAACCUCAAAUUCAUAUUCUCAGCAAUUAAAAAUUUCAUAUUCAGUUCUCUACUUGAUUCUAAGCUCAGAACUACGAAGCGCAAGCAGCGUCUUUAAUUCGGCUAAAUGAUAUAUUGACUAAUUGAUUUAUUUGUUCGGAUUAUAAUGUUUAUUUCUCAUGAAUCUUUUCAUUGGUGAAAUAUUUUGAUGGGUUUUUUUAGUUGCUCCUUUAUCAUUCUUCGUUUAUUGGAGAAAUAUAUUAUACAACCAAAUAAUUAAAUUUUAAUAAUAAAAGAGUGUUAAGUUCACAUUCAAACCAAAGGAGAGCAGUUAAGGGAAGAUAAAAUGUUUAUUUUCCCCUCUUUCUCCUUAGAAGCCAGAAGCAGAGUCAGUCCUGUAACCCCUUACAUAUAUUUAUUUCUGUGUUUAUUUCUGUGUUAGUCGUGCAGAGUACAUCUGCUGAACAAUUCAGUUAUAUAAACAUUAAUAAACCAAGAAUCCACUGCUGAAAUUUUAUUAACUGAAAGUAGGGAACGAUUGACACACCAGACAACAAGAACAAGAUGCAAUUAAAUCUAAUGAAAAUUAAAAAAAGAAAAGAAAAAGAAAUACAUAUUAAAACAUAUUAAUAAAAAGGAAACUCAGUAAGUACGGCACCGGAAGAGAAAGCAUUUUGGGUGGCUUGAUCCUCCCAUUGUAGCUCUUCCCACCAUUCUUUCUCUCCCCGGAUGACAACUCGACGUUCCUUCGCGCUGCUGGAAUUGAGUGGGAGCUUCUUCAGCUGUGGGCAUUCACGUACUUCAAUUUUCUUCAGCUUUGGAAAGGGCAGGGGAUUCGGGUAAACGCUCUUUAAAUUUAUUCCCCCCCAUAAGGAUAGAAAUUCGAGUUCUGCGAAAACGUUAUGCUCUGACCCCACUAUCUCUGAAAUAUCUCUCAAUUUAUCAGCCCCGAUAAUUUCUUCCACGUAUUCACAAUACACUAUACGCAGCUCCUUGAGGUUUUGAACAAAAACAAGCCACGUUAAGUCCUUCGCUUUUUGGCAAUAAAAUAGAUCAACUGUGUCGAGACUGCGGAAACCACUUUGAAAAAGCUUCUUCACCUCUUCUGUGCUGUCAAUCUUCAUCUCCUCCAAAUCACUCUGAGAAAGACGCAACUCCUGAAGAUUCUCCAUAUAUGCUAGAUGUAAGACAUUGAACGGUGGCCUUGUAUACAUGCCACAUUCAACCCAUACAGAUUGAGUGAUGCUAACCAGCUUUGGAUAUUUCAAAAACUUUUGGACAGCAAGUGAACUUCGGAAGGACCAGCUUAAAACAUUUAAAUGCUUCAAACCCAGCAAUUCCUUCAUCAAAGGUUCAGCAUCAUCACAUAGAACGUUACCUUCUUCUUCCUCUAUUACGCCCCAGCGACCGGACGCAAACAACCUGAGUUCCUCCAACUUUGAAAAGCCAGAUAUCAAUUGAUGUGGAAUUAUGGACAAGUACUCUGUAUAGUCCAAGUUCAAAUAUCUCAACUUCUCCAACGCCUUCAGCUCUUGCGGCAACCCAGUUAUGUGAGUCGAUGAUAGAUCAAGAUGAUGCAAUGAAACCAAACCUGAAAUCCCCGAAGGUAGUGUACUUAGGGGAAAAUUUCCUCUUAGACUUAAUACUCUAAGAGACGACAUAGAUUGAAAGAAGCCAUCAGUGAUCUCCUCAAUCCGAUUUUCAUCCAGCAGUAAAGUUACGAGACGCGGACACGUGGGAAUUUCCGAUAGGCUUUCAAUUUUAUUUUCCAUCAGAGAUACCCGUUUGGCACCUUCCCAUUCUUCAACCUUUGGUGCUUCGGUCAAUUCAACUCCAGCGCGAACCAGAAAGUUCUGCUCCUCCUUGUCUACCGUGCACGCUAUCCAUAAUGACAUCUCACGAAUCAUAUCGUGCAUCUUUACAUGAUCAUCGCCUUCUUCCUCCAAUAAGCAUGCUUGAAGAAGGUCAUCAAUAAAAUCGCAUCCAUCAUCAAAAUCACACGCAAAUCCUUCACUAAUCCAAUAAUCAAUCAAUUGCCUUUUAGGAAUUUCGUAGUCUUCAGGAUACAAACAGCAAUACAGGAGACAGGAACGAAGUUCAUCCGUAGACAAAC